UCGAGAAUACUUUACCAUGCGGGCAACCGUGAUAAGGAAACCCCGAGUGCCAGCACAGGCUGGCUGUCCGCCAGUUUAAACAACUGGCGAAGAAAGGGCCGGGCAAGACCGGUGCCAGCCGCCGCGGUAAUACCGGCGGCUCGAGUGGUGGCCGCUAUUACUGGGCUUAAAGGGUCCGUAGCUUGAUAAUAGGGUCCCUUGAGAAAUCCGCCGGCUUAACUGGCGGGCGUUCAGGGGAAACUUGUUUUCUAGGGACCGGGAGAGGUGAGGGGUACUGCCGGGGUAGGAGUGAAAUCCUGUAAUCCCGGUGGGACCACCUAUGGCGAAGGCAUCUCACCAGAACGGGUCCGACAGUGAGGGACGAAAGCUGGGGGAGCAAACCG
rnacentral:rRNA from 1 species